rnacentral:rRNA from 1 species
UACGUAGGGUGCAAGCGUUAAUCGGAAUUACUGGGCGUAAAGCGUGCGCAGGCGGCUUUGCAAGACAGAUGUGAAAUCCCCGGGCUUAACCUGGGAACUGCAUUUGUGACUGCAUGGCUCGAGUACGGUAGAGGGGGAUGGAAUUCCGCGUGUAGCAGUGAAAUGCGUAGAUAUGCGGAGGAACACCGAUGGCGAAGGCAGUCCCCUAGACCUGUACUGACGCUCAUGCACGAAAGCGUGGGGAGCAAACAGG